AGUCCUCGAUCGGAUUAGUCGGCAUUGCUCGUAAACGGUCCGUGCUUCGGAAGAACGUCUCAUAUUACAUCACGUCUCAAACUUUCUGCUGGCUUUCGUAAAUAUGGUUUGGGAAACUUGUUUUCGCGUAAAAAUUUAAUAUAUAUCCGUGUGGAAUAGUCCAAAUAUAGAUAUAAAUGGGACAUGUGGUUAAGCUGUGGUUAAGCUGUGUUCAUGUGGUCUAAAGAAUGGUUUUAAAGAAGUUGUCAGUUGAUGCCUACACCACCUGCUUGGGUUGAAGUGGACCAAGCCAAAAAUGAAUAAAAAUAGACAAAUAUACUGUUGGCAGCCAUUGAGUUAGAAACACACCAGGAAUCAUCUGUCUUCGGCUGGCAAGGAAAAUAAAGACAAACAACUUGAUCUGGCUAAAUGAUAAAAGAAUGUGUGAGGCAGAGCAGCAAAGAUAGUGAAAAGGAAUGCUGUGUGCAAACAGAUGAAGGAUGAAAUCAUGAAAAAAUGGCAUGCAAAGGAAAAAUAAUAAUUGAACUUGAUAAGUGUUCUUCUUUAAAUGUUAGCCAAAUUGUUUUUUUUAAUUGUAUACGUAAAUAUGUGUAUGUAUUUAAAAUGAUUAACUUUUGU